CCUACGGGAGGCUGCAGUGGGGAAUAUUGCACAAUGGGGGCAACCCUGAUGCAGCGACGCCGCGUGAGUGAUGAAGUAUUUAGGUGUGUAAAGCUCUGUCAGCAGGGAAGAAAAUGACGGUACCUGACCAAGAAGCCCCGGCUAACUACGUGCCAGCAGCCGCGGUAAUACGUAGGGGGCAAGCGUUAUCCGGAUUUACUGGGUGUAAAGGGAGCGUAGACGGGAGGGCAAGUCUGGAGUGAAAGGCGGGGGCUCAACCCCCGGAGUGCUCUGGAAACUGCCAGGCUGGAGUGCAGGAGAGGUAAGUGGAAUUCCUAGUGUAGCGGUGAAAUGCGUAGAUAUUAGGAGGAACACCAGUGGCGAAGGCGGCUUACUGGACUGUAACUGACGUUGAGGCUCGAAAGCGUGGGGAGCAAACAGGAUUAGAUACCCGUGUAGUC
rnacentral:rRNA from 1 species